ACCUGGGUGGCUCAGUCAGUUGAGCGACUGACUUCAGCUCAGGUCAUGAUCUCGCGGUCUGUGGGUUCGAGCCCCACAUCAGGCU
rnacentral:tRNA from 1 species